GACGUAGGGCGCGAGCGUUGUCCGGAUUUAUUGGGCGUAAAGAGCUCGUAGGCGGUCUGUCGCGUCGGCUGUGAAAUCCCGAGGCUCAACCUCGGGUCUGCAGUCGAUACGGGCAAACUGGAGUGUUGCAGGGGAGACUGGAAUUCCUGGUGUAGCGGUGAAAUGCGCAGAUAUCAGGAGGAACACCGGUGGCGAAGGCGGGUCUCUGGGCAACAACUGACGCUGGAGGAGCGAAAGCGUGGGGAGCGAACAGG
rnacentral:rRNA from 1 species